rnacentral:rRNA from 1 species
GGUCCCUAUCUUCCGUGGGCGCUGCAGAUUUGAGGAAGCCUGCUCCUAGUACGAGAGGACCGGAGUGGACGCACCUCUGGUGUACCUGUUGUCACGCCAGUGGCAUCGCAGGGUAGCUAAGUGCGGAAGAGAUAACCGCUGAAAGCAUCUAAGCGGGAAACUCGUUUCAAGAUGAGAUCUGCCGGGGCCUUGAGCCCCCUGAAGAGUCGUUCAAGACCAGGACGUUGAUAGGCUGGGUGUGGAAGCGUAGCAAUGCGUUAAGCUAACCAGUACUAAUUGCUCGUGCGGCUUGACCCUAUAACUUUG